CGGGGUCAAGGUGGCAGGCAAGAUGGUCAAAUAGAAGUAGCUUCAGUCUGCAGCUCCCAGUGAGAUCAACACAGAAGGCAGGUGGUUUCUGCAUUUCUAACUGAGAGCUGGUGAGAAGGCUGUCUCUUGCCUUCUAUGAGAACCUGGGGCAGCCGGUAGCUAUUUCUCCAGCUGAAUUCAGAACACCACUCUGCAAUUGAAGAUAAUGAGGCAACACAUAAACAGAGCUGAUGGAUGGAAGAGGAAGAUGACUGUUCAGAAAUGCUCAAUUAAAAAGAAAUCCAGUCCUGUGUUGCAAUGUUUAUUAAAAUGCUGUGGAAACCACAGCUGAGAAGUCCAGGCAAAUUUUAAGUAGUUGAACUCACUGAAUAAUUAUAAGAGUCUUAGGCCUUUCUUCCCUUCCUUUUUCCAUGCCGCAAAGUGCUCCAG
rnacentral:lncRNA from 1 species